rnacentral:rRNA from 1 species
AAUGAACGCUGGCGGCAGGCCUAACACAUGCAAGUCGAACGGGUCCUUCGGGACUAGUGGCGGACGGGUGAGUAACGCGUGGGAACGUGCCCCUUGGUACGGAAUAGCCCCGGGAAACUGGGAGUAAUACCGUAUGUGGUCGAGAGACGAAAGAUUUAUCGCCAAGGGAUCGGGCCGCGUUGGAUUAGGUAGUUGGUGGGGUAAUGGCCUACCAAGCCGACGAUCCAUAGCUGGUUUGAGAGGAUGAUCAGCCACACUGGGACUGAGACACGGCCCAGACUCCUACGGGAGGCAGCAGUGGGGAAUCUUAGACAAUUGGGGAAACCCUGGUCUAGCCAUGCCGCGUGAUCGAUGAAGGCCUUAGGGUUGUAAAGAUCUUUCAGGUGGGAAGAUAAUGACUGUACCACCAGAAGAAGCCCCGGCUAACUCCGUGCCAGCCGCCGCAGUAACAC